rnacentral:rRNA from 1 species
GCGAAUCGCCCUUCGGGGUGCAGCAGGCGCGAAAACUUUACAAUGCGGGAAACCGUGAUAAGGGGACACCGAGUGCCAGCAUCAUAUGCUGGCUGUCCGGGUGUGUAAAAUACACCUGUUAGCAAGGGCCGGGCAAGACCGGUGCCAGCCGCCGCGGUAACACCGGCGGCCCGAGUGGUGAUCGUGAUUAUUGGGUCUAAAGGGUCCGUAGCCGGUUUGGUCAGUCCUCCGGGAAAUCUGAUAGCUCAACUAUUAGGCUUUCGGGGGAUACUGCCAGACUUGGAACCGGGAGAGGUAAGAGGUACUACAGGGGUAGGAGUGAAAUCUUGUAAUCCCUGUGGGACCACCUGUGGCGAAGGCGUCUUACCAGAACGGGUUCGACGGUGAGGGACGAAAGCUGGGGGCACGAACCGGAUUAGAUACCCGGGUAGUCCCAGCCGUAAACGAUGCUCGCUAGGUGUCAGGCAUGGCGCGACCGUGUCUGGUGCCGCAGGGAAGCCGUGAAGCGAGCCACCUGGGAAGUACGGCCGCAAGGCUGAAACUUAAAGGAAUUGGCGGGGGAGCAC